UAUGUUUGUUGCUUUUAUGCAGUGAAUAAAAGGGUCAAAAUAGUAAAAAAUAUGCUUCUGAAGUUGCUUGUGAUAUGUUUUGUGAAUUUCAGUGGAUGAUAUUCCAACUUAUGAAACUGAAGUUGCUUCAUGGCUAAUGAACACGCUCCAGAAAAAGGACAAAUUAUUCUCUGAUUUCAAGAUUAGCUAAGGAAUGCUUUAAGUCAUGGAUUGCGGCACCAAUUCCAGCAAGAUAUAAGUAGCAGUAGGUGUCUAACUUCUUUGAAAUCACAUGGUGUAUUUGAAAGCAUAGAAACUGCAAAAUGUUUCAAAGCAAAAAUCUAAAUACACAAGUUUUGAAAUGGGAGAUAAAGUAUUGGAGGCAAGCUUGGGUGUCGAAUAAAGAAGAGCACAUGAGAGGAGAAUUUAAAAUUCAAUGAUAUAAUGACUUGAGGAGUAGAUGAAAUAGGUACAUAUGCUUUGUCUUCCUCUGGUCUUGAUUAUUAUUAUAGGAUGGUUUUAUCUUCUUUGCUUGAUUUAGAAUAGUAGUUUCUUUAAGUUGUUGGUCUAGUUAGCAAGAUAGUAGUGAGCUCAUGUUUUGCUUUAAGCCUUUGUAACUACUACAGACCUCAUGUCUCUGAUGGAUUUAGUGGGUGAUUUCUUAUUU